AGCUUUCUAUAUCCGUCCUGAGAUUUCGUCAUACACCCAGACCACAAGGGCUAAUGACACUCCCAAAAUAAGUGAAGCG
rnacentral:pre_miRNA from 1 species